UUAAGAGAACAGUAAAGAAAUAACCACAAACAAUGGAUACAACUUUGCACAAGUCAGUGAUAAUUAAUGAUUUAAAAUCAUCGAUAAAAAAUGUGAAAUAGAAAACAAAAGACAGGACAAUUUGAUUCUGGUAACUCGUACACUCUUGCAGGCCACGCUUUCACGCGCACAUCGAUAAAAAUCCGCGCUGAAAGCAAUAUUUUUUUCUCUCAUUAGAAAAAAAAACUACAAACUCGAGGAUAACUAGAGACUAACGAAAAUUGUUAAUAUCGAUACAAUAGAAAUAAUUGAUUAUAAUUAAGAAUCUGAGCGCCAGUGAGCGCAUGGAUACAUUGGGUAGUUAUGAAAAAAAAAUGUAUUGUAAAUAAUUCACAAAUAAUCGUUACAACGAUUCCAGCAACAGUCUUGUAGCUCGGGUGGUAGUGAUUGUAGCUCUUGAAAAUAAAGGCAUUGGAAAUAUUGAAAGGGGCAGUUGUAGAGACUGUGCAUUAACAUUACAGGCAAAUAAACAGUAGGUAAUUCAACAAAAGUUUGAAUUCUAUUUCAAUUAUGUUAUGGGGUAGAUUGAAGCUGAUUUUUCGAAAAUAUCCUGUCAAUCAAACUCAACAGCUGAUAAUUGACAGUGAAAACAGCAAAUGAGAACAGACAAUUGUACCAUGGAGAAGAAAAAAAAUUCUCUUCUCCUCAUUAAGGAAAAAAAAUUAAUUUUCUUCCUUCAAGAUCAGAGAUAAUAAGUUAAUAACAGCUACUAAUCGUUUUCCCGGUUGAACAUUGAAGGCACAUUGCCUCCGCAUAAUUCAGUACUCGAUAAUAGCUGCCUCAGCUGCAUUUCGAUUUAAAAAUAAUUAACAUUUUUCAUGUCUGCGAGGUUGGAUGAUUCACGUUGAAUGAUGAAAGGCAGUCGGUGUGGAUCUGGAGAAUGACGAGUGUCUCCAUUCCAUCAUUCCCCCGGUCAUUAAGGGAACUCGUGGAAGCGAGACUCUGACAUCCUGGCUAUGUUCAUGGCAGUGAUAAGACUUUGCACUUCCUACUAUUUGUCUGGGUGAAUUUCCUCUCAUUCAGUUGACGAAGAAUUAAACCUCGGGGACACGUGUUCGUGAAGGCUCUGGCAGUGACGUUUAUACUGGUUGUUCGUCUGCAAUUUAAACAAAAAUGGAGCGUUUAGGUCCGACUUGGAUGUAUGAGUGUACGAGGUGGGGUGCGGCACAGUGGCUCGAGAGGUAUCCUGAUCUUGGUGAAGGUCGCCUGGUGCAUUCUAGGCGGGCAAAAACUUCACUAGGAAACCACGCCCUAGCUCUCUCACGUCGUUCCGUCCUCGGGGGGACAUUUCACCGUGUCAGUAGCAGAAGUACUUGAAGACAGCAGAGUUCAAACGAAAGACGUCUAGUGGGAGCGCUCACGUAGGUCGAGUAGUCUCGCGACGUUCCUGCAGGCGAGGUUGAGUGUUCGCCUACAGGCAAAGGUUGGCCCCACGCGCGACUCCGCCGCGUGGUAAAUGCCACUGGUUGGCAUUACAGCAACAACACCGGUGUCUCCCGGUUGUACCGAGACCUUCGGAUGCAUCUAAACCGCCAGUAUGAGCGCCAACGGGGUUGCGGCGUUGAUGUCUAUUAGGCCUUUAUUUUUACUCAUGAAAAUACCUCAUGUCUCCACUAAUCGAUUAUCGAUUAUCACCGGACCGAUUAUGAUCAUGACACCAGCGAUUAUCUCCAUACAUCCGCCAUGUUUGAUGUGUAAGCAAUGGAUUUUUUAAUUAUGGAUCUUCGGCAGAGAAUCGAUAUCAAGAGCCAAUCGAUUACCUCAUUCAGCAUAAAACAUCGCUCAUCAUCUCUAUUAUGUUGGUCGUAACGUACAGCUCUGAGUUGCGACGUCACCUUUCCCGAGACGAUAUUGACACAGAUAUGAUUUUUUUUUUGCAACUUCAAGAGGUUAAGGAUAUCGCAUUAGUUUGGCCAAUUUUUUUCUCCAGUUAAAUGCUUUUCCACCUGAAUUAUUUCCUCAAAUGAGGAUAUUAUCAUCAAAAUUUCUCUUUGUUCAGAACAAGCAAAGUGCCCGCAGAGAAAGAUUCAAUAAAAUUCGCAGUUCAUAGAAUCGAGUGGAAAAUCUUACAUCACAGUAUCAGAAUUUUUCAUUGUCGAUGCAAAUAAAAAUUACGAAACGUUCAGGAAAAUUCUGUAACAGUUUCGUAAAAUUUUCUAUAAUCGCACUUCACUCCGAAAUUAUGGAAAAAAUACCUAACUUUUAUUGAAUAUUUUUCUCCGUUAAAAAAAAAAAGAUGAAUCACAUUUGACUACCGACUAAUUUUUGAUAGAUAUCUCAGAUUCUAGAGAAGAUGGAGAAGAUGGACUCGACUCAGAGAUAACUCAGUUUAUCUUAUGGUACCACUUGGCUACUGAAUCAACAAUAAAAAUUAAUUUAUUUUUGCCAACACGUUCAUUCAUUUUUGAGUGGUAGUCUCGCUCCUUAUCAGAUCAAUGACUUUAGUUUCCUCAUAAAUAUACGGCCCAAAAUAUUUCAAAACAAACUUGUAGCUCAUCCAUAUCGUUAAUAGCUAACAAUAAACGUUUCUCACCUGUCCCUUCAAAUUUUCAUCCAUCAUAUCAAUUUUACAUUCAAAAUUGCUGUCAAAUUCACUUGACCAUAACCAUCCGAAGAACUAAUCUCAGUUUUACUUCUUUUGUAAUGGCAAUGAACAGCUCUUCCUUCACUUUUAUUUAACCUCAAGUUUCCGGAUAUUUUACAAGGACUUUAUUGUUUAAAAGUUGCAUUAUAAAUAUCCAAAAAAAAAAUAAUUAUAUUCAAUUCGAAUCGUAAGAAAUUUUUGAACAUUUAGAAUUUUGUCAACAAAAUGUCUCCGAAAAUUUAUCCAAUUUCAUUUCCACUCAUUUUUAUAUUUAUAAUGAAAAAGGUCACCAAAAGAAAUAUUU